AGUAACCUUCAGGGCGGGGAGAAUGUCCCCACCGGCGGUAAACCCCGCGAGUCCCGAUUCGGGACAUGAUCCGGUGUAAUUCCGGGGGCGACAGUAUAGUCUGGAUGAAAGAAGGCUUGU
rnacentral:ncRNA from 2 species